CCUUUCUGGAUAAUUCAGUCAAAAAAGGAAGAAGUGAGUGUGUUUAAAAGUACCUGAAUUGGCUGCUAUGCUUGAAUUCUUGAUGCUCAAACAGGAGUGCACAUCAGAGGAAACCCGAGGAGCUUUGUAGAUAAGAAUGUUAAAGACUUUCAGACCUCCUAUUCAGAAGCCACCAAAGGCUUGCUCUGCCUUAUGUCAGUCCACAGUUCAACAGCAACCCUUGCCCUGCACAAGGUCUAGGCUCUCCAGGCACUUCUUUCUUGUCGAUGAGCAUGAGAGCAUGAAUGCACUACUAAAACGGGAUUGUCCUCAUUUCCUCAUUUUGAUGGCCUUCGGCAGAUGGUGUGCAAAAGAAAUAUGGUUUAAUAUAGAGAGGUUGGUUGGUACAAGAAUGAGGUUAGAGGCCUUUGAUUUUCUCCCGUUCAUAAAGUCUCAUAAAAGAGUUGGCCCAGGACAAAAUAGUAAGGAAGCGCAUCUUUCCAUUCUGUGAGGUUCUCCUUUCUCUACCCUGAUUUGCUCUUUGGGGGGUUGCCUCUCUCCAGUAUUCUUUUUCUCCUUUCCCCUUCUUAAAGCUUGUUUUCAGGAGAUAUACAGAAAAACUCGUACUAAUGAGCAAACAGCUGUUAAAGUUGUACUAUAUUCCUUUUACCAAGAAUAUUGGUAUUUUUAAUGGGAGACAAGAAACCACACGUCAAAGAGAAAAAGGGAUCUGUUAAUUGCAGAAUAUUAGGCAUUAGGGAGCAGGUGGAGAAAAUAUUUCGAUAGGGGGAAUUAACUCUGUACAAGCUACUUUCUCUGCUUACACAUAAGAAAGGCUGUUCUUCAGGGUUUGAAAGACAGGACUGAAAUGAAACUGUAGAGGAGAGGAGUGCGUAUAUGUGAGGAUCAGCAGAGGAAAAGAAAAAGGAGAAAUAGCUGUGUAAUGCUAAGGAGUUGAAGUUAUCUUAUUAGUUAAGAGAUUAAGGUUUUAGACUAAGCCAUGGAAAAACAACGUUCUUAUAAUUUCUCCUUAACCCUGUGGAGGCUCUCCUGAAAAUCUGGUGUGCUUGCAAGGUAAAGAUGUUCUUUUGAAGCGUGGUAAGUCCUUACAUAAAAGCUUCGCGUCAUUAUUCAUAUUGUUAGUAUUUUCACUUAUUUCGUGUUUGAUUUUUCUUAAAGCACUUUUUCCCAGAAAAUAAACCUUAGGCGGUAGAACUUAAUCA
rnacentral:lncRNA from 1 species